ensembl:rRNA 5S_rRNA 5S ribosomal RNA
GGUUACGGCCAUACCACCCUGAGCACGCCCGAUCUCGUCUGAUCUCGGAGGCUAAGCAGGGUCCGGCCUGGUUAGUACUUGGAUGGGUGACCCCCUGGGAAUGGCUGAUGACCC